rnacentral:rRNA from 1 species
GACGAACGCUGGCGGCGUGCUUAACACAUGCAAGUCGAACGGAAAGGCCUCAGCUUGCUGGGGUACUCGAGUGGCGAACGGGUGAGUAACACGUGGGUGAUCUGCCUUGCACUCUGGGAUAAGCUUGGGAAACUGGGUCUAAUACCGGAUAUGAACUGCCUUUAGUGUGGUGGUUGGAAAGUUUUUUCGGUGCAAGAUGAGCUCGCGGCCUAUCAGCUUGUUGGUGGGGUAAUGGCCUACCAAGGCGUCGACGGGUAGCCGGCCUGAGAGGGUGUACGGCCACAUUGGGACUGAGAUACGGCCCAGACUCCUACGGGAGGCAGCAGUGGGGAAUAUUGCACAAUGGGCGGAAGCCUGAUGCAGCGACGCCGCGUGGGGGAUGACGGCCUUCGGGUUGUAAACCCCUUUCGACAGGGACGAAGCUUUUUGUGACGGUACCUGUAGAAGAAGCACCGGCUAACUACGUG